rnacentral:rRNA from 1 species
GACGUAGGGCGCGAGCGUUGUCCGGAUUUAUUGGGCGUAAAGAGCUCGUAGGCGGCUCAUUGCGUCAACCGUGAAAACCAGCAGCUCAACUGUUGGCUUGCGGUUGAUACGGGUGGGCUGGAGUUCGGUAGGGGAGACUGGAAUUCCUGGUGUAGCGGUGGAAAUGACGCAGAUAUCAGGAGGAACACCGGUGGCGAAGGCGGGUCUCUGGGCCGAUACUGACGCUGAGGAGCGAAAGCGUGGGGAGCGAACAGG